UUCAGACGAUGCGUCAUGCAUAUCAAUAAGCGGAGGAAAAGAAACUAACAAGGAUUCCCCUAGUAACGGCGAGUGAAGCGGGAAGAGCUCAAAUUUGAAAUCUUAAAGGGUUUCCCUUUACGAAUUGUAGUUUAAAGAAGUGUUUUCUGUUGAGGUUUUGGUAAAAGUUCUUUGGAAUAGGACAUCAUAGAGGGUGAGAAUCCCGUAUUUGACCUUUACUUUCAACUUUGUGAUACACUUUCAAAGAGUCGGAUUGUUUGGGAAUGCAGUCCAAAAUGGGUGGUAAAUUUCAUCUAAAGCUAAAUAUUGGCGAGAGACCGAUAGCGAACAAGUACCGUGAGGGAAUGAUGAAAAGAACUUUGAAAAGAGAGUUAAACAGUACGUGAAAUUGUCAAAAGGGAAGCGUUUGACACCAGUGUUGUUUUUCUGAAAAUCAAUUAAAGAACUGUUUAUGCUAAGUUGUUUAGACUUUAUCAGCUAUCUGUUUAGUUUUGAGCUUUUCUUUAAUGCACUUUUCAGUUAACAAGUCAACAUCAAUUUCUUUUGCUGUAAAAAAGCUUGAGGAAGGUGGCUUGAGAUUCGUCUUAAGUGCUUAUAGCCUCUUGCCUAUGCAGUCGGAGAGAUUGAGGUCUGCAGCGUAGAUCCUUCGGGGCUAAAUGCAUUUGUGCUAAGUUAUAGCAUUUUAUAGACAACUUGUUGACUAUGAUUUGUCUUGUAGCUUACUCGCUUAUGUUAUUUUACCUACGCUUAGGAUGUUGAGCGCAUGUCUCUCUCU
rnacentral:rRNA from 1 species